rnacentral:rRNA from 1 species
GAUGAACGCUGGCGGCGUGCCUAAUACAUGCAAGUCGAGCGAACAGACGAGGAGCUUGCUCCUCUGACGUUAGCGGCGGACGGGUGAGUAACACGUGGAUAACCUACCUAUAAGACUGGGAUAACUUCGGGAAACCGGAGCUAAUACCGGAUAAUAUAUUGAACCGCAUGGUUCAAUAGUGAAAGACGGUUUUGCUGUCACUUAUAGAUGGAUCCGCGCCGCAUUAGCUAGUUGGUAAGGUAACGGCUUACCAAGGCAACGAUGCGUAGCCGACCUGAGAGGGUGAUCGGCCACACUGGAACUGAGACACGGUCCAGACUCCUACGGGAGGCAGCAGUAGGGAAUAUUCCGCAAUGGGCGAAAGCUUGACGGAGCAACGCCGCGUGAGUGAUGAAGGUCUUCGGAUCGUAAAACUCUGUUAUUAGGGAAGAAAAAAUGUGUAAGUAACUAUGCACGUCUUGACGGUACCUAAUCAGAAAGCCACGGCUAACUACGUG